UACAGAGGUGGCGAGCGUUACUCGGAUUUAUUGGGUGUAAAGGGCAAGUAGGCGUCUUGACAAGUUAAGAGUGAAAUCCUGCAGCUUAACUGCAGAACUGCUUUUAAAACUGUUAAGAUUGAGACUGAAAGAGGAGAGCGGAAUUCUCGGUGUAAGAGUGAAAUCUGUAGAUAUCGAGAGGAACACCAGUGGCGAAAGCGGCUCUCUGGUUCGGUUCUGACGCUGAAUUGCGAAAGCUAGGGGAGCAAACAGG
rnacentral:rRNA from 1 species